GCCUGGCUGGCUCAGUCGGUUAAGCAUCCGACUUCGGCUCAGGUCAUGAUCUCGCGGUCCGUGGGUUCGAGCCCCGCCUCAGGCU
rnacentral:tRNA from 1 species